rnacentral:rRNA from 1 species
AACAAACGCUGGCGGCGUGCAUAACACAUGCAAGUCUAAAGGGAAUGUCGGCUUCGGCUGACUAGUACCUUGGCGAACGGGUGAGUAACACGUGGGUAAUCUAACCUUGGGUCUGGGAUAACCUUGCGAAAGCGGGGCUAAUACCGGAUAAGACCACGCCCUGCACGCAGGGAGCGGUAAAAGGUGGCCUCUUCAUGAAAGCUAUCUCCUGGGGAUGAGCCCGCGGCCUAUUAGCUAGUUGGUAGGGUAACGGCCUACCAAGGCGACGAUGGGUAGCCGGCCUGAGAGGGUGUACGGCCACACUGGCACUGAGAUACGGGCCAGACUCCUACGGGAGGCAGCAGUGGGGAAUUUUGCGCAAUGGGGGAAACCCUGACGCAGCAACGCCGCGUGAGUGAUGAAGGCCUUCGGGUCGUAAAGCUCUUUUAGUGGGGAAGAAGCCCUCCAGGGCUAAUACCUCUGGGGUCUGACGGUACCCACAGAAAAAGUUCCGGCUAACUACGUGCCAGCAGCCGCGGUAAUACGUAGGGAGCAAGCGUUGUUCGGAAUUAUUGGGCGUAAAGAGCGCGUAGGCGGUUUGGUAAGUCUGACGUGAAAUCCCAGAGCUCAACCCUGGAA